AUGAUGGGAGCCUGCUGCUUCCGCCUGCCCAAACCGAGCCCUCUCGUUGGCUACGACAGCCAGGGCAAUGGUCGCCAUGGAUACAACACAACCUCCAACCAGGAGCAGAGUGGAAGGGGCCAAAAGGAGGAAGAGGCAUGGUUUGGAGAAAUAACUGACAAGAGGACAUUGGAGGAGGACGGAUCUGAUCACUUUGGUUACCAGUGGUUCAACCUGACCAGGCCAGACCAGCAGAGAGAAAGAAAGGAGGAGAGAGGGAGAGAGAAAAAUGCUAGUGGGUUUGACGGGACGGAUGCUGAUUUCACCUACAGCUGUGAGUACCUGUCUGUGUCAGCCUGUCAGGCCAGGGUCAGGGACCUGCAGGGAGAGGGAGAGGCUGUGAGUUUCUCCCCCGGCCAGCGCUGCUCUGAGGUGGGUUGCGUCCACGCCUGUGGCUGCCUCUACCAUAGCCUGCCACGGAGCUACGGGGAGGGGUUCAGGCAUGGCUGUGAAGAGUGUUUGUGUGAUCAAAGCGGAGCGGUGCAGUGUGGGUGUAGUCAACUGACACAGCGGAAGGAGAUACGAGACCUGACCCUGAAAGAGAGACGCCAGUACCAACGAGCCAUCAGGAGGCUCUACGCACAGCCAGGUGUAUGGGACGGUUUCACCAAGCUGAGAGCUGAGUUCUCCCCUCAGGCUGGUGGCCACACCUACUUCCUGCCCUGGCAGCGCUACUUCCUGCGGGUGGUGGAGCAGGAGCUCCAGGCUGUGUCGUCAUGCCAACUGGGUGUUCCGUACUUCGAGUGGACGGUCGACUCUGGGGAUCUUUUGACCUCAGCUGUCUGGCAGGCCGAGAUUUUUGGAGGAGACGGAGAGAGAGAGGGGAAUGGCGAGAGGGAAAGGGAUGAAGAGAGGGAUAGAGCGAGUGAGGGGGAUGGAGAGCAAGAGAGCAACUCUGUCUCAGGCUGUGUCCCCCACCACUCCUUCCAGGGCUUGUCUGCACGGUUCCACUGGUCCCCCUGUCUACGACGGAGCUUCAACACCUCGGUGUCUGUGCCUGACGCGGUGAGCGUCCAGAGGCUACUGUCCCAGGGAAACUUCCUGUUGUUCUCCCAGGCUCUGCAGGGGCUGUCUGGGCUAUUUAGGCUCUGGGUGGGGGGCCACAUGGCCUCUCCUCUGGCCGCCUAUGACCCCCUCUACCUCUCACACGCCGCUUUCAUCGACAAGCUCUGGACACACUGGCAGGACAGGCACAGAGACGUGCACACUCAUGAAGAAGCUCAUGGGCACACUCACCUACACACCCAGUACCCGGUGAGGCAGCGCCACGUCAAGAUGAAGCCGUUCGGCAUUGCUCCUGAUGAUGUGAUGUCUUCACGGGAACAACUGUGUGUGGUGUAUGUACCCAUAACCCUCGGAGCUCCCUGCAAUGUGACAUCAUCACUCCUUGCCGAAAGAGGGAAGGGCCGCCACAGAGGAGCGAAAGACACUGCCAGCUAUCACAGAAAGAGACAAGAUACACAAAACAACCAUAAACAUAGCACCUAUGAUUACAAUGCACAAGGCUAUGAUGGCUUUGACCACAGUGGUUACAAUCGCAAUGGAUAUGACAGACAAGGUUUCAACCGCAUGGGCUGGGACCGGCUUGGUUACAAUAGGGAUGGUUUGGACCGUGACCACAUCGACAAAGAGGGCUAUGACAUUUCUGGAUACAACCGCUAUGGGUUUGACCGCCACAAUGUUACAUGGUUCGGGAUGCGCUGGGAUGGAUUGUUUAUGAGGGAGGAGGAGAGAGAAGAGGAGACUCAGGGGGAGAAAGAGAAGGAGAGUGAGGUGAGAGAGGAGAGUGGAGAGGAGGAGGAGAGAGAAAGAGAGAAGGUUAUGUCAGAGCUCUUUAGCGACAGUGGCUACAGUGUUUAUGGUUUCGACCCCUUUGGUUUGGACCGGGGUGGUUUUGAUGCAUUUGGAUUUCGACCAGACGGUUACGAUAAGGACAGCUGUAACUGGUUCUACAACGGACCGCACUACCUACGGUUCUACUACCACACCCAACAGCAGCUAAUUUCAACCAAUCAACACACUCUUAACCACAUUACAAGAACCUGCUCUCCAAUCACAGCCCUGCCUCAGCACUGGCCUUUGCAGGAUUGGAUGGCUCUGGAUCAAGAGGAGAGCCAAGCCCUGAUUGGUCAGCUGGAGCGGGAGUGGGCAGGACAGAAGCAUUCUGAUAACUACUACACCCACAAGGUGAUGUCACAGAGGGGACGGGACAUUUGGCUGCCAAUCACCCCAGACAGCAGGUUUUGUUUUGAACUACACUGGUUCUCCGGUUGUCCUCUUGGCUCUGCCCCCUUGACCUGCCCUGACCUCUGCCGUGAAGCACGUUGUCUUGGUAACCCGAUGGCUGAGUGUCGUUUGCGGAACUGUGGCUCCUGCUUUACUGAGUGGCUUGACCCAACCACCGGAGCGUACGUCAUCUGCCAGGGCUGGUAACCAGUGCUGACCGGCGCCCAUGUCAUUCAGCUUAGUGGAAGAUGACUAGAAAAUGCUUUUUUGUCAUGAAAAACUAAUGCAGUUCGACAUUAGAGCUUUCAUUACCAAGGCGGGUUACCAAGUCUGGAGAUAGGACACUUUUCUCUUUCUGGAAUACACGUUGAUGAUGGGUUGGAAUGAAAGCCUGCACACCCUGUUGCACUUCCUUUGAAUAUUUAACUGAAGUAGGAGAUAUUUAGAUAUCAGGAGGUGUAAUCAAUGUACCACACUGUAUUAGAUAAAGGGAGUGAAUGUUUCUAGUGUUCUUUUUUGCUGCUUUUCUUCAUCUAUUACGCUGUUUACCCACCACAUGAUAUUCACCACAUACACACACACAUACGCACACACACACACCCUGGUAUUCGUAAAAUGUGUCUUUGUUCUGUCAUGUUUCCUAUAGAAAUGAAAAGGUUACUUACUUUUCAAGCAAGUUCCAUUUCCACACACACACAUAUUCACACAGUAGGCCGGUAUAUGUCGAAUGGGUCUCUGUUCUGUCAUGUUCCCUAUAGAAACGACCCUGUUGGAAUGUACUGCAAACAUGAUAUUAUGCCUUCAAUCUCUCUCUCUCUCUCUCUCUCUCUCUCUCUCUCUCUCUCUCUCCCAUCUCUCUCCCCCUCUAUCUCUCUCCGUCUUCUCUUCAUUUCUCUUUCCAUCCCUCACACUCUCUCAUUCCUACCUCUCUCUCUUAUCUUCUGUCUUAAUCAGUCUUUCUUUUUCUUUCCCCAGCCUCUCUGUCUACUGUCUUUGUCUCCUCUUGUUUUUUUCUGUCCAUCUUUCUUUUCUGUCCGUCUUUUCUCUCUUAAUUGUUUCUGAUGGCAUCCAGCCGACACACACACACACACACACACACACACACACACACACACACACACACACACACACACACACACACACAGUCAGUCACUCUUAUGCAGACACAAACACGCACUCAUACACUCUUUGAUCUUUCUGCGUUGGCCUGCAUGCUCGGAUGAGUGGCGGAAAUGCUUUCUGGCACAGUUGGUGGGCUGCCUCACACACACACACACACACACACACACACACACACACACACACACACACACACACACACACACACACACACACACACACACACAAACUGUUGCUCUGACAAGUCAAUUGUGUGUUAAUGUACUCACCGGGGCAGUCUCUAACUCUGUACCACGGCAGGCACCUCUGUUUAUGGUUACAGCUGUAAAACAUCUCUCUCUCUCUGUGUGUGUGUGUGUGUGUGUGUGUGUGUGGGUGUGUGUGUGUGUGUGUGUGUGUGUGUGUGUGUGUGUGUGUGUGUGUGUGUGUGUGUGUGUGUGUGUGUGUUGUGUGUGUUUUCACAAACCUUUCCUCUGUUAAUAUGGUCUAUCUAUUAGNNNNNNNNNNNNNNNNNNNNGAGGGAGGGAGGGAGAAAGAGGGAGGGAGGGAGGGAGGGAGGGAGAAAGAGGGACGGAGGGAGGGAUAUCACACAGAAACACACAUUCCAAUUACCAGGGUAUUAUUUAUUCUUAGGUCUGAUUGUUUGUCAGAUAGAUACUGCUGACAACUAGACACUCACCCAAACACACCCAUCAUAAACACACAC
rnacentral:lncRNA from 8 species